rnacentral:lncRNA from 1 species
UCUAAGACUUUUUGGCUAGUAUAUAAACAACGGUCCCUGCUAACCCUAGACACGACAACUAAGGCUUCCCAUAGAGCAUUGUCAUAAAGUUAGGAGUUUACAGAAGAGUUGGUGUUUCUGUUUGUCACGGCAAACAUAAAGAUUGGAGUUUUAUCGAUGACGUCUUGCUUGCAUGGCUACUGCAUCUUCGGUAACUACCAUUGGAAUCAGGUCAGUCACUCUUCAUUUGUGUUUUAAUUGUAUAACCUUAUAAGGCUUACAGUUGGUAUCAGAACCAUUGGUUAUAUGAUUAAAACCUAUUAGGUUUGAAGUUUGAUUCUAUAAUAUUAUUCUUUUUGGACUGCGAUUUUGAUCUUAAAUCCAAAUUGUGAUUCUAUUCGGCAACAUCACCAUGUUGGACCUGCUUGAAAACUGCAUAUUGUACGUUUCCGCAUAUAAUUGCAUAUACAUGGCAUAUUAGUAUGAUAUGCACAGCACAAGUUUUACAUCAGUUCCUAUUUGGUCUUAGAGACCGAAAUUAUCAGUUAAAUAAAACGAUUACAGAAUUGGAUAAUCUGUUUCUAUGAGUGGUGUCUGUCGAGUUCAAGUUUUCUUCCACCGUCACCACCCUUCAAAUCCAUACGUGGGCUUUUCUAAUUGAAGCACUUAAUGAUGAUAUUGAAUUAACUAUAAUAAAGGAAGAUUGAUAUAGUUGGUUCAUUAUUUUAUGAAAUUGUAUAAUUGGAAUACCAUGAUGCUUAACGUUUUCUAUUUCACAUAUGCAUCGCAUAUGAGAUCUUGAUGGAGGUGGGUUAAGGAGCGGAUAAAGCCAACGAACCAUGUCGAGGCAUAAAGACACCGUCGUCCAACAUAAGACAAGUCAUGGACGUCACCUCCCAAGACAUGUGUAGCCUUGCAGGAAAUCACAUAUUUUGCUAUCGGAUAUAUCACUCAUAAAUUGGUAAACUAAUAAUUGUUGCAUGGUAGGUUUUCAAGCACUUCAAGCUUUCUUUCUUGUAUUCAGUUCUCAUAAAGAAAGAUUGGAACAGUUUGCUCAUCUUUACUAAAUUAAUUAUGACUGGAAGAAGAUGGCAUGCUUUAAGCUUUCUAUUUCGAUAUUCAUGCCAAUGUUUUGGUUGAAUUGAUUUAGUGGUAGAUACAACUAUUUUGGCUAACGUUGUUGUCAAUUUUGUAAGCAUAUAGAAAUAUGUACUUUUGUACUAAUCUUGCCAAGAAAGACUAUGAAGCAUCUCAAGUCAGCAAGAUCGGUAAAGUCUCCUAUCAAAGCAAACAAUAUUGAUCAUUAUAUGUGUCAAUUGCGAAUUAAUUAGUUGAUCAUGCAUAUGGUUAUUUUUUAUUAUUAAGUUUUUAAACUUGGUUAUCAAAACAAAGAGAAAAUAUAUGUUUUGAACAUGAUAAAUUCUACUAUGCAUAUAAAAGGCAUACCGAGAAGCAUAUGUAAAUAUGCAUAAAUUAUUUUACUUGUUUUUUAGACUUUAUUCUGUCAAGAUAGUCUGGAUGUUUCGGCACUAGUAGUCUAUUGCACUGUUUUUCAUGGGUAACAUAAAUUCAUGGAAAUAAAUUUUGAAUCAGUUUUGUUACAUGAUAAUGUGUAGACCGAAUGUAAUUGCCAUGUCAUUGGUUGCUAUGGGAAGUAAUCAAUAUGGAUUAAAAUUUUAAGUUUUGCAAACAUGUAGCAAAAUUGACAUAUGGCGUGUUUUAAAGGGAUUGGGUUGUCCUAUAUUGCUUUAAGCUUGAGAUGAUCUUAUGUAAAGAUACAAAUGUGUUGAUUAGUAAUGCAGCAUACUAGCACUUAAGUAUGAUUGAGGAUUCAUUCAAGUACGGUUUAUAAUGAUAUUAACUCCAUAAGGAAUUUGCAUGACUAAUCAAAUUAGUUUUGUUUACAAUUUUGCUUUUCUAUCUCAGUAUAGUCAUUUAAUUGUACAUGACUAGUUAACUAUGAAAUUGAUGCAUAACUUGUGGAUUGACUGAGAGUGACAGAAAGCAUCUGGUGGCAAGAACAAGGACAUUAUACAUAUGAAUGAGGUUUGCAGUAAUUAUGUGACACUUCUCAUUUGUAUUAUAUUUAUUCUUAUAUGAGAAUUAUGGUGGUCAUGUGAUUAUAUAUAUGUUUACAAAGAAGUGGUGAACAUAUGAAGGCAUGAGGUAUGUAAUCCAUUCAAAGUAUGUAGCUUAAUUGAUAAGCAUGAAUUUUCAAACAUGUAUUAUUGUUUGUGGUUUUUCCUAUGCCUAAAGAAUUUAAACAGUGCUUUGAUUAGUAAAUUUUAUGUGUCAUAAGGGGAGAAGAAAAACAAGUUUUCAAGGCUAAUGUAGGGCACAUAUUGGAGAUGUUUUCUAUGGAAGAAAAUAAUUUUGGUUGUUCCUUUUAUUUAAUUUGGUAUUUACAAAGCUAAUGCAUGAUUUUAAUGCUAUGUUUAGUAGUUGUACUACGGAAAGAAAUAUAUAAAAGGAAAGGAACCCGUUUGAUAUAUAUUUGAGCAAUUUAGUUUUUAAAUUAAAGGAAUGUAUUGUUCUUUCCCAUUACAUAAAGUAUUUCUAUUGAGUAAUUGACUCCAUAAUGAUAAGUUUUGACAUUCUUGUGGUGGAAUAAAACUUGUUCUAUAUGUGAUUAAUCUCUUUCAAGUAUGCUGUCAGGUAUUUUUGAGAUUAAUUUGAUGUCAAAGGGAGUCAUGAAGGAAUUAGUGCCAUUUGUUGGCAAAAACUCAAAGCUCGAAUCAGGUUAUCAUAAUUUUGUCACUUACAGUUAAUUAAUCCAUGUGACUUCUUGUAUUGUUUCAGGGCGGAGUUGACCAAUGCCUUUUCAACUAAGCAAGACACAACGGCUUAGUUUGCAAUGGGACUAUGUUUUUGAGUUACUUCGGUCAACUUUGCAUCUUAAUUAGAAUAAAAGGGAUAAUCUUCUUGCCUACAGGUGUGGAUUACUUCUUUUAGUUUAAUUAAGAUGGCAUAGUAUGAGUUUUAUUUCACAGAAGUUGUGAAAACCUUCAUCUUGCCUACAGGUGUUGAAGUUUUUCAUGAAGGAACUUUUGUGACAUAAAAUCUAGUACUAGAAACUAGUUAAUUUUCUUGCCUACAGGUGUAAAUUAAUUUAGUUUCAUGAAGUUUAUUGGGAUAAAGUUUCAUACCAUUAGUGACAAAUAUUUCCACAAUGAGCCCCAUAAAAGGUUGUGGUUUGAAGGCAUGGAAAUCGGUUGCAUCAUGAUGUAUUUUGUAUCUCUUUAUGAGACUUGUUGAUGCAAAGUAUUGGACCCAUGAAGGUUAAUCAAUGAUUGCUAAGGAACGCAUUGUUUAAGUCUUAUGCUUGUAAAUCUUUUCAAUUUGAAUUAUGAUGUCGGUUUAGAGGAUGAAAUUUGACUACUAAGGUUUCUUUUGGACAUCGAAAUUGAAAUGAAAUGAAAUUGAAUUUGUUAUGGAUAUAUAAAUUCAUGAUAGAUGCACAUAAUUGUUUCUGGCAGAUUGCGUGUCUUGAUUUAAAUCGGGUGAAUGACACGUCUAAUGAUCACCAAAUGACCUGAAUUUUGGAUAUGUUCAACAUAUAAAUGUCUACUAUGUGUCUGAAAAUUUUCGUAAUUUUCUGCCAUGUAUGUUAAUUAUGGUGAAUUUACUAGUAACCCAUGCUCGUAUAGACAGUUUUUACUGGCAGAUUGUGAUGUUUUUUGAGACGUGACUUUAGACUACUAUUUUGACCCAAAAUGGCUCUGUAUUUCUAUUUUAUGAAGAUUAGUAUGUCUAUUUUGAUCAAUAUAAAUUGGUAGCAAUUAAGCUUGUAAAUUAAUUAUGAUAAAUUCUAAAGUAAGUGUAACUCAUUGCUGAAAUUCUGUUUGACAACUUUAUGUUGGUUGUGAUGUCUAUUUUAUUAUGUCUAAUAUAUAAAGACAUUUUCUUUAGGUACAUCUUUGAAAGAAUAUAUUAACGAGUGUUUGCCCAAGUGGGAGAAUUAGUGAACGAAAAUUGGGCUUCACACUCAUUAACUUAUUUGCAAGUAUAAACUCUGAAAACUUAGUGAGAGUUGUUCUAAAAUUUUGAGCACUAAGUGGACUUGCAUGAAUCUAUUAAAGUAUUAUUCUAUCUUCCAUGAAAUUGGGUUACUCGAAUAUCCAUAAUAUGUUUAAGUUGCACGAGUGGAUACUUGGUAUAUGCGUACAUUUUUCUGUUACUUGCAAUCAUUUGGAUUUCUCAGUUGAUCAUUUGUUUUGGGGCUCAUAAGGACUUAGCAUAAAUGUGGACUUAUUAAUACAUAUAAGAUGGUUGUUGGAUGCAUGUUUUGUGUAAUAGCAGUGAAUGCUUUCAUGCUUAGUUGUACCUUUCUUAUGGAGGUAAUAUGCAUCCAUUGACUAAGUAAGGCUAUUCCCAAAGGCAUAUUUUCAAAAGUAUGAUUUAUGUAUUGAUUUGCAAAUUAAGCAAUGAUGUUGCAGAUCAAUGGGAGUUUGGGUUUCGUGUUAGUAAUGCCUUACAUUUGCAGAUGACCUAUAAGGUAUGUAUAGAAUCCAUGUAUUCAAUUUAAUCUCCAGUUGGAUUCAUUAAGUCACAUUUUUUGUGUGCUAGUCAAUUAUCUGAUGAAAUAUAUAUCAGAUAUCAAGUUGUUAUCCAAUUGCAUAUUAAAUGGCAUGGCAUGGUUUGUGCACUACCUCAGUUAUGAGGAUUUCCAUCUUGCCCGCAGGUGUUGGAAAUCAUUAUGAAAGUAACUGGUAUGGUACAUAGAUCAGUGUCAAAAACAUAUUAAUUCAUCUUGCUCACAAGUGUUGAAUUAAUUUGUUUUAUGAAGUUUUUUGGGAUAUUUUACUUGGACAUGUGCCUAUUUGGUAUUUUCAGUUGUGUCCGUUGGCUACAAACAUUGUUUGUAUUAUUAUUGAUCUAAUGAAAGUGAUGCAUGAUUGUUUUGGAGAUGUAUUCACACAUGCAAGUUAUUGUGGUUUCAUUAGAUGAAGGAUAUCUGCAUUGGCAGAUUUAAG